AGACAUGAAGAGCAGAAAGCCCUGACAAUGAAGCCCAGCGCCUGCAGCAGCUCGGACUCCCUGCCUCCAGACUUCUUCUCACGCAAAGUAACCGAAUGUUUGUAUUGCUCAAGCCCUUGUAAUGAGCACCGCCUAAGCCAUUCUGCUAAAACCUGAUUGCAUAAACAGAAGAGUUUGUUUUCUUGGAAACUUCCCCUGGCUACAACAGCCCUCAAUAUAUCUGUGCUUUUCUCAACUUAAAAACCCCUUGUAGGGGCGCCUGGGUGGCUCAGUCAGGCUUUUCCCAUAAUCAAUCUCAUACAUGUCUUGACGUCUGCUCUCAGAGGACCCAGACCGACACAGCAUUUUGUCCAUAUACAGAAUCAAGGAUAAUCUGGGUUUAGAAGAUCUAGAAUGUGGGGAGGCUAAACCAUAAUAUCAAGCACUGCUAUCUGCUAAUACUUGUAUGUAGUUUUGACCCCUUCAAGUACAAUGUAACAUUACACUGCCGACAUUCAUGAAAGAUUUA